rnacentral:rRNA from 1 species
CGGCAACAGCUCAAAUUUGAAACCUGGCGCUUGCGUCCGGAUUGUAAUUUGUAGAGGAUGCUUCUGGGCAGCGGCCGGUCUAAGUUCCUUGGAAAAGGACGUCAUAGAGGGUGAGAACCCCGUAUGCGACCGGCGCGCACCCUCCACGUAGCUCCUUCGAC